CAGUGCUGGCCUCUUUUUU
rnacentral:miRNA from 1 species